rnacentral:lncRNA from 1 species
AUGAUAGAAAUGAAUGAAGAGUUGAGAAGAAACAGACAAGAAAUUGUGACUGGAUUGAACAUGUUCUUGGAAGAAAAUGAAGAAGACGAUGUUAGUUUGGAAGAACUGGAGGAGGAAGAAUUUGAUGUUCUUGAGGAAGAAGGAACAGAAACUAUAAGUGAAGAUGGUAGUUCAAAAGAAGCACAUAAUAUCACCAGAACACCUCAGAAAGUAUCCUUGAGGAGUAUCUCAGCCAUGACAGAUGAAGAGAGGCUUAUGAUGAGAAUUAAGAAGUUUGGAAUAAUUUCAGAUGACAAAUUUAGAAAUCACCAGGAGCUUCAUGGUGUCAGAAGAAAAGAAAACCUUUUGAAACUGAUUCUGCCUAGAAACACUACCCCUCAAAUCAUCUACAUGCAGCUGAAGGGAAAGUUCCCUCUAAUUUUCUUUAUCCCACUCUCUAUUGCCUCUUCUUACCCCACUUCAAGAUUCUUAACAUUCUUUCAAACUGUGAAUGCUGGAAGUUGCUGUGAUGAUCUGGGGUAUGUAGCUCCCAAAGAGAACAUGUCAUAGCUACUCUCUCUACCUUUUCAAAGUAUGAAAAAAGAACUGAAAAAACCAGGCUUCACUACUCAAAAAAAAUCAAGCAGCCCUAGCAAGUCAUGGAAGAGGAAAAAUGCCGCUGGGUCUGAUCUCAUAACUGAGUUCUGUAAGACCCUUGAGAUCUACUUUGUCAAGUUUUAAAUAGUGUAUGACGAAAGGUGAAAUGAGCAGUUGUUAUUCAGUUAUGUUUGACCCUUUGUGACCCCAUUUGGAGUUUUCUUGGCAAAGAUAUUGGAACAGUUUGCCAUUUCCUUCUCUGGCUUAUUUUAUAGAUGAGGAGCUGAGGCUAACAAGGUCAAGUGACUUACCCAGGGUCACACAGCUAGUAAGGAUCUUGAGGCUGGAUUUAAGCUCAUAAAGAUGACUCCAGGCCUGGUACUUUAACCACUGUGCCACCUAGCUGCCCUGAAAUGAACAGCACGAUGGAUCAAAGAGUACUGAUUUUGUUUUUAAAAGAAGAAAGAAGAGGUGCCAU